rnacentral:ncRNA from 1 species
AUGACGGUGGAAGGAGAGACUGUCCUUGAGACAGCGCCGAAGGAGCAAGCCCCGGGAGGGGCGAAUCUCUCAGGCAAAAGAACUUCCAUCCGACA